rnacentral:rRNA from 1 species
AUUGAACGCUGGCGGCAGGCCUAACACAUGCAAGUCGAGCGAGCGGCGGACGGGUGAGUAAUGUAUGGGGAUCUGCCCGAUAGAGGGGGAUAACUACUGGAAACGGUGGCUAAUACCGCAUACUUUCGGCUGAUCCCAUCUGGGAUUAGCUAGUAGGUGGGGUAAAGGCGCACCUAGGCGACGAUCUCGAGCUGGUGUGAGAGGAUGAUCAGCCACACGGGAACUGAGACACGGCCCAGACUCCUACGGGAGGCAGCAGUGGGGAAUAGUGCACAAUGGGCGCAAGCCUGAUGCAGCCAUGCCGCGUGUCUGAAGAAGGGCUUAGGGUUGUAAAGUACUUUCAGCGGGGAGGCGUUACCCGCAGAAGAAGCACCGGCUAACUCCGUGCCAGCAGCCGCGGUAAUAC